AGUGAACGCUGGCGGCAGGCCUAACACAUGCAAGUCGAACGGCAGCACAGCAGUAGCAAUACUGUGGGUGGCGAGUGGCGGACGGGUGAGGAAUACAUCGGAAUCUACCUUGUCGUGGGGGGAUAACGUAGGGAAACUUACGCUAAUACCGCAUACGAACUAUGGUUGAAAGCGGCGGACCGCAAGGCGUCGCGCGAUUGGAUGAGCCGAUGUCCGAUUAGCUAGUUGGCGGGGUAAAGGCCACCAAGGCGACGAUCGGUAGCUGGUCUGAGAGGAUGGAUCAGCCACACUGGAACUGAGACACGGUCCAGACUCCUAC
rnacentral:rRNA from 1 species